GACGAACGCUGGCGGCGUGCUUAACACAUGCAAGUCGAACGGAAAGGCCCUGCUUUUGUGGGGUGCUCGAGUGGCGAACGGGUGAGUAACACGUGAGUAACCUGCCCUUGACUUUGGUAUAACUUCAGGAAACUGGGGCUACUACCGGAUAGGAGCUCCUGCUGCAUGGUGGGGGUUGGAAAGUUUCGGCGGUUGGGGAUGGACUCGCGGCUUAUCAGCUUGUUGGUGGGGUAGUGGCUUACCAAGGCUUUGACGGGUAGCCGGCCUGAGAGGGGGACCGGCCACAUUGGGACUAAGAUAGGGCGCAGUCUCCUACGGGAGGCAGCAGGGGGGAGUCUUGCACAAUGGGAGGAAGCCUGAUGAGGAAACGCCGCGUGCGGAAUGACGGCCUUCGGGUUGUAAACCGCUUUAGCCUGUGACGAAGCGUGAGUGACGGUAAUGGGUGAAGAAGCACCGGCUAACUACGUG
rnacentral:rRNA from 1 species